UUGGUGGUGGGGCCAGCAGGCCUCGUGCAGGGGCCCUGGCAGACCCUGGCCCACUGUGCACCACGCUGUAGGAGUCCAGGGUGCCCCUCCCGGCCUCCGGAGUGUACCACCUGGGACGUGGCUCACCCUCCUGAUCAGAACCUGGUGCCUGGAAGACGUCCCAGCUCCCUGGAGGCGCGCCCUGCACCGUCAGGCAUCUCCUGCCCACCCCCACACUCCCAGCCGGGACCCCUGCGCAGGACGGGCGGGGGCCCUUGUACCCCCACUGCCCCCGCCCUGGGGACUCUCCCUGCUCCAUCCAGGCGGCAGAGCCGCUCUGCUCCUCAGCCACGGCCCCGUCACCGCCUGGGGUGGCCACUCCCGCCGUUCAUACGCGCCAGUGUCCCGAGUCCCUGGGACUCGGUAGGUGCCUUGUCAUCACGACGGUGACUGAGCUGACUCCAUGCGCCCACGUCAGCACAAGGGUCAUCCAGCCACGGAGGCUGUGGAUUCGGAAACAGACAUCCAUUCACUGAGGCAAAUGUGAAAGGACAGAAAGUUAUAAAGAAGGAAACAGACAUCACCUUGGUGUUCCCAUCUUUCAGAGAUAAUCUUUGUUAGCAUCUCGCGGUAUUUCCCUCUACCUUUACUCCUGUGUAAAUAUAUGUAAUACUUAAUUAUCACAUGAUUUGUAAUAUGUAAUUGCUUUUCACACACAGGGUCAUACUGUGUGUAUUUUAUAUCUUCGUUUUUAAUGUAUAAACCCACUCUGUUAUGAGACCAUGACAUUAAGUAUUUUAAUGCCUGUGUGUUUAUGGUCUACUGUUGUUUAUUUGCCAUCCAGCCCCUCAUUACUUGGACACCCCCACAUCCUUUUUGUUUUUAUCUCUGUGUAUAUAAGGAUGCAAUGAAUAUUUGCCUAUUUGAAUCU